rnacentral:misc_RNA from 1 species
CGCCUGGAAGAAGGAGGACAAGCCCCACCGUCGCCUGGAAGAAGGAGGACAAGCCCCGCCGCCGCCUGGAAGGAGGAGGACAAGCCCCGCCGCCGCCACCCUCGCAUUGCCAGCCCCUGCCCACCGCGCCCACCCCCGCGCUGCAACUCCCGCCGCGCCGAAUGCUCCCCAACGCCCUGUACAAUCCGGGGGAGAGGUCAAGGAAGGCGAGCGACGCUCGGCAGGAAGGGCAUCCCGCGAGGCCGCGACAGUGGCGGCACUCCGCUCCCACCAACCCACAACACUGAUCCCCUCCUCGCCGAGCC